UGGGCGUAAGCGAGCGCAGGCGGUUUUUUAAGUCUGAUGUGAAAGCCCUCGGCUUAACCGAGGAAGCGCAUCGGAAACUGGGAAACUUGAGUGCAGAAGAGGACAGUGGAACUCCAUGUGUAGCGGUGAAAUGCGUAGAUAUAUGGAAGAACACCAGUGGCGAAGGCGGCUGUCUGGUCUGUAACUGACGCUGAGGCUCGAAAGCAUGGGUAGCGAACAGGAUUAGAUACCC
rnacentral:rRNA from 1 species